rnacentral:tRNA from 1 species
GUGUCUGUAGCUCAGUGGAUAGGGUGUGUAUUUCCUAAGUUGAAGGUCGCAGGUUCAAUCCCUACCUGACGCG